rnacentral:lncRNA from 1 species
UUUUUUCUUUUUUUCUUUUUUUUUUUUCUUGUUUUCUUGUUUUCUUUUUCUUUCUUUUCCUCCCUCUCUCACAAGGGCACUGUUGAGUCACCAGCCCCCGGCCGUGCUCCAUGCACUCUUUCCCCUGCUCCUCGCCCGCUGCCGGCCCCGGCCCCACGGCCCCUGCCCAAGCGGCGCUUCCUACCCCGGAGCCCACCGGCACCGGGAGCUUCGGGGGCUCCCCAGCCCCGGCCCCCCCAUAUUUCUGCCUGCCCAACCCCAGCAGAUGCAGAGGAGCGGGACGGGGCCAUGGAGCCCCCGCCCUGCAGGUGCCGUCCCGAAUCCACCGGGCUCUGCCUCAGGGCAGGGCGAGAACCCCAGGGCUGGGGGGGCAGGGGCAGGGACCCCCCCUUCCCAGUGGGGAGGCAAAGCAAACCCCAGGGCUGCGGCUGGGGGGGGGAGCAGCAGGGCCCCCUCCCCACCCCGCUGCCCACCCGGCCGCCCGCAGCAGCUCACGGCUUUUGGGGCCCGUUUGGAGGAGCCCCGGUCCCUGCUUUUUGGGAAACGGCGGCACCAGAAGGAAACCAGAGCGGAGGGGACGAGCCUCCCCCCCCCCCCAAAAAAAGAAAAAGCCCCCCCUUGAGGAGCCAAACUCUGGCUGGGGGGGCCUGAAGCAGCGUCCCCAGCUCGAGGUCCCGCUGCGACCCCAAACCUGCAGCUGGGGCCAGCAGGGACCGAACCCGGGGGUGAGGGUUUGGGGUCGUCCCCACUUUGUGCACAGGGCAUGGCCAUGCUGGGGGGGGGGGGCAGAUGCAGCCCCCGACCGCAGGGACCCCCCCGGCCGUCCCGUCCCGUCCCCUCGCUGCCCUUGGCGCUGGCGCCCAGCCCGAAAUAGCAGCGGUGUUGGUUUCCGAACCGGAAGGUGCUCGGGGAGGGGGAGGAAGGUGCCGGGGGGGGGGAUCGGCCCCGGAGAGCAGCCCCCAGCUGCCGGGGUCAGUCAGCGCCGAUGGCACCCACCGGGCACUGGGGGGGGGCUGGUGGUGGCUUCCCCCCCCCUUGGGCAGAGCGGGACCCACGGCCCCGCACCGGGUGGGGGCGCAUGUUCCCGUUCCUCAGCUUCAACCUGUCCGGGCUCAACCCCGUGGCCCACUACAGCGUCUGCGUGGACGUGGUGCUGGUGGAUCAGCACCACUGGCGCUACCAGGGCGGGAAGUGGGUGCAGUGCGGCAAGGCCGAGGGCAGCAUGCCAGGUACGGCAC